UUUGUGGAAUUGAUAAUCAGCGUGGUAACACACCUCGCUAGCUAAGGGAACACGGUGCGAAACCGUGGCGGGCCCGCCGCUGUGACCGGGGACGCUGCCUGCAUGGUCCAUUACCAACCACUGUGGCGAUAAUCAUCCACGGGAAGGUGCGGGCAAGGCGAAUAAUCCGGGAGUCAGAAGACCUGCCGGCGAGUGAUCCAAUCAA
rnacentral:ncRNA from 1 species